rnacentral:rRNA from 1 species
CCUACGGGAGGCAGCAGUGAGGAAUAUUGGUCAAUGGGCGCUAGCCUGAACCAGCCAAGUAGCGUGAAGGAUGACUGCCCUAUGGGUUGUAAACUUCUUUUAUAUGGGAAUAAAGUGCAGUAUGUAUACUGCUUUGCAUGUACCUUAUGAAUAGGGAUCGCCUAACCCCGUGCCGUCCGCGCCGGUAAUACGGAGGAUCGGAGCGUUACCCGGAUUUAUUGGGUUUAAAGGGAGCGUAGGCGGGUUGUUAAGUCAGUUGUGAAAGUUUGCGGCUCAACCGUAAAAUUGAAGUUGAUACUGGCAUCCUUGAGUACAGUAGAGGUAGGCGGAAUUCGUGGUGUAGCGGUGAAAUGCUUAGAUAUCACGAAGAACUCCGAUUGCGAAGGCAGCCUGCUGGACUGUAACUGACGCUGAUGCGCGAAAGUGUGGGUAUCAAACAGGAUUAGAUACCCUGGUAGUC